rnacentral:lncRNA from 1 species
UAGAACUCUCAUACGCUUAUUGAUUAGCUUAUUGAUUAUGGGUCAGAUUAAAAUGGGCCUUGAAUUAUUUUAGUUAGCUCCAUAUGUUAUAUGAAUAAAUUCUCGAUUUGUGUGUAAAACUCGAAAAUCUUCAAGCAACCCUGUUCCAACAGCGAAAUUUUAGCCCUGUGAAACAAUCCCCAGGGACUGUGAGAAUAUGAAUUGAUUUUAAAGGAUGGCUGGUUAUUAAUGUGAUCAUUUCAGGAAUUUUGCUAAAUAGGGGGUCAAUAUAAACCAACAAAAAUUACCCAUACUCACCAUCAAGAGGUAGUCGUGGUAAUUUAUUUUUGUAUUUCCUUCAAUUCUUUUCUAAGCUUUUUUUUUCAACUUUUAUUUUAGAAUUGGGGGUAUGCAUGCAGGUUAGCUGCAAAGGUAUAUUGAGUGAUGUUGAGGUUUAGAGUAUGAAUCAAUCUUUCACCGAGGUAGUGGGCAUAAGAUCCAAAAAAUAGUUUUUUAGCCCUGCCUCUCACCCUCUUU